AGGGGAUAACACUUGGAAACAGGUGCUAAUACCGGAUAACAACCAAAACCACCUGGUUUUGGUUUAAAAGACGGCUUCGGCUGUCACUUUAGGAUGGACCCGCGGCGUAUUAGCUUGUUGGUAAGGUAACGGCCUACCAAGGCGAUGAUACGUAGCCGACCUGAGAGGGUAAUCGGCCACAUUGGGACUGAGACACGGCCCAAACUCCUACGGGAGGCAGCAGUAGGGAAUCUUCCACAAUGGACGAAAGUCUGAUGGAGCAACGCCACGUGAGUGAUGAAGGGUUUCGGCUCGUAAAACUCUGUUGUUGGAGAAGAACAGGUGUCAAAGUAACUGUUGACAUCUUGACGGUAUCCAACCAGAAAGCCACGGCUAACUACGUGCCAGCAGCCGCGGUAAUACGUAGGUGGCAAGCGUUGUCCGGAUUUAUUGGGCGUAAAGCGAGCGCAGGCGGUUUUUUAGGUCUGAUGUGAAAGCCUUCGGCUUAACCGGAGAAGUGCAUCGGAAACCGGGAGACUUGAGUGCAGAAGAGGACAGUGGAACUCCAUGUGUAGCGGUGAAAUGCGUAAAUAUAUGGAAGAACACCAGUGGCGAAGGCGGCUGUCUGGUCUGU
rnacentral:rRNA from 1 species